UGGGAUGUAGCCAAGUGGUAAGGCACCACACUUUGACUGUGGCAUUUCGUAGGUUCGAAUCCUGCCAUCCCAGCCA
rnacentral:tRNA from 1 species